AUGAACGCUGGCGGCGUGGAUAAGGCAUGCAAGUCAAACGGAACAUGUUAAUUUAAUAUGUUUAGUGGCAGACGGGGUAGUAACACGUAGGAACUCACCCCAGAGACGGGUAUAAUCCGGCGAAAGCCGGACUAAUCCCCGAUAGUUCCCGAAAGGGUAAAGGCAGCAAUGCGCUCUGGGAGAGGCCUGCGGGCUAUCAGCUAGUUGGCGGGGUAAUGGCCCACCAAGGCUAUGACGGCUAGGGGGAGUGAGAGCUUGGCCCCCACCAAUGGAACUGCGACACGGUCCAUACACCUACGGGUGGCAGCAGCCGAGAAUAUUCGACAAUGGGCGAAAGCCUGAUCGAGCGACGCCGCGUGCAGGACGAAGUCCUUCGGGACGUAAACUGCUUUUUUAGGGGAGGAACGAAAGUGACUGUACCUUAAGAAUAAGGGCUUGCUAACCUCGU
rnacentral:rRNA from 1 species